rnacentral:misc_RNA from 1 species
AAGUCGUAACAAGGUUUUGCUAAGCAACAGUCCUUCUGUAGCAGAGCUUAACGGAGACCUUGCACCCGAGAGAGGGAGGCGACUAUAAAUAAGCUUCAGCGCAAGUCAGCACUGCUGGCAACACAAUCGAACUGCGGGGACGCUUUAAAGCCUACUAGUACCAACUACUCUGAGAAGGGUGGGGCGAGCACGCUCGAGGUCACAAUCUGGUAGGAUGCCACAAUAAGCAAUCCGCAGCGGUGCAAGCCGUCCACAGACUAAGUGGUUGUGGGUAGGAGAACCCUAUCUAAGAUAUAGUCGAGCCUGGAGGGAGAUCUCCAGGGCUUCUGCGUCCGUAGGUGAACCUGCGGAAGGAUCAUUAAAAAAGAUCACCGGUGUAUCCCAGCGAUGUCGUUUGAUCGACCAUUGUAGGGCUGUCUUAAACUCACAGCAUUGCUAGUCGCGCGGAAUACUGAUGCCCUAGCCUUUGGGCCAGGGGCCGAGUGAAUCCCCACCCGUGUCUACAUACUCUUGUUGCUUUGGCGGGCCGUGGCCUCCACUGUGGGCUCUGCCUGCAUGUGCCCGCCAGAGGAUCAAACUCUGAAUUUUAGUGAUGUCUGAGUACUAUAUAAUAGUUAAA